GAUAAACGCUGGCGGCGUGCCUAACACAUGCAAGUCGAACGCCCUUACGCAAGUAAGGGAGUGGCGGACGGGUGAGGAACACGUGGGUGAUCUGCCUUGAGGUGAGGAAUACCGGCGAGAAAUCGCCGACAAUACCGCAUACGUUCGCAAGAACAAAGUCGCAAGACGCCUUGAGAUGAGCCUGCGUCCGAUUAGCUAGUUGGUGGGGUAAAAGCCUACCAAGGCAGCGAUCGGUAGCUGGUCUGAGAGGACGAUCAGCCACACUGGGAUUGAGAACGGCCCAGACUCCUACGGGGGCAGCAGUGAGGAAUUUUCGUCAAUGGCCGAAAGGCUGAACGAGCAACGCCGCGUGCAGGAAGAAGUCUUCGGAUCGUAAACUGCUUUUCUGGGGGAAGAGCACGGACGGUAACCCCAGGAAGAACGCCCCGGCUAACUACGUGCCAGCAGCCGCCGCCGU
rnacentral:rRNA from 1 species